AGAGUUUGAUCCUGGCUCAGAAUGAACGUUGGCGGCGUGGAUUAGGCAUGCAAGUCGAGCGAGAAGCCUCCUUCGGGAGGUGGAGAGCGGCGAAAGGGAGAGUAACGCGUAGAUACCUGCCCUCGGGUUCGGGAUAGCCACGGGAAACUGUGGGUAAUACCGGAUAAUGUCUCCGGACCAAAGAUUUAUUGCCUGGGGAUGGGUCCGCGUCCUAUUAGCUUGUUGGUGGGGUAAUGGCCUACCAAGGCUGCGAUGGGUAGCGGGCGUGAGAGCGUGGCCCGGCUCACUGGGACUGAGACACUGCCCAGACACCUACGGGUGGCUGCAGUCGAGAAUCUUCCGCAAUGGGCGAAAGCCUGACGGAGCGACGCCGCGUGCGGGAUGAAGGCCUUCGGGUUGUAAACCGCUGUCAGAGGGAAGGAAAUUCGCCCCUAGGUUUGACCUACCCUCAGAGGAAGUACGGGCUAAGUUCGUGCCAGCAGCCGCGGUAACACGAACCGUACGAACGUUAUUCGGAAUUACUGGGCUUAAAGAGUACGUAGGCGUCGUGGCAAGUUGGGUGUGAAAUCCCUCGGCUCAACCGAGGAACUGCGCCCAAAACUGCAAGGCUUGAGGUCCGGAGAGGCCGGCGGAAUUCCCGGUGUAGGGGUUGAAAUGCGUUGAUAUCAUCAGGAACACCUGGUGGCGAAAGCGGCUCACUGGGUCUUUCUGACGCUGAGGUACGAAAGCUAGGGUAGCGAACGGGAUUAGAUACCCCGGUAGUCCUAGCUGUAAACGAUGAGCACUUGGUCGAGGGGACCUCCACAUCCUCUCGGCCGUAGCGAAAGUGUUAAGUGCUCCGCCUGGGGAGUAUGGUCGCAAGGCUAAAACUCAAAGGAAUUGACGGGGGCUCACACAAGCGGUGGAGGAUGUGGCUUAAUUCGAGGCUACGCGAAGAACCUUAUCCUGGUCUUGACAUAGUUAGGAAUUUUCGUGAAAGCGAGAAGUGCCCUUCGGGGAGCCUUUUUACAGGUGCUGCAUGGCUGUCGUCAGCUCGUGUCGUGAGAUGUCGGGUUAAGUCCCUUAACGAGCGAAACCCUUAUCCUUAGUUGCCAGCGAGUAAUGUCGGGGACUCUAGGGAGACUGCCGGUGUGAAACCGGAGGAAGGUGGGGAUGACGUCAAGUCCUCAUGGCCUUUAUGACCAGGGCUGCACACGUCCUACAAUGGUGCAUACAAAGGGAAGCGAACUCGCGAGGGUAAGCAAACCCCAUAAAGUGUACCUCAGUUCGGAUUGCAGGCUGCAACUCGCCUGCAUGAAGCCGGAAUCGCUAGUAAUCGUGGGUCAGCAUACCACGGUGAAUAUGUUCCUGAGCCUUGUACACACCGCCCGUCAAGCCACGAAAGUGGGGUGCACGCGAAGUCGCCAGGCCAACCCGCAAGGGAGGCAGGCGCCGAACGUGAAUUCCGCGAUUGGGACUAAGUCGUAACAAGGUAACCA
rnacentral:rRNA from 1 species